rnacentral:rRNA from 1 species
UCAACGGGGCUAAAAUCAUAACCGAAGCUUGGGAUGCAAUUAAUGCAUGGUAGGGGAGCGUUGUGUAAGGGGUGAAGUCACAGCGGAAGCGGUGGUGGACAUUACACAAGUGAGAAUGCCGGAAUGAGUAGCGCGAAUUAUGUGAGAAUCAUAAUGGCCGAAAGUCUAAGGUUUUUGGAGGAAGGUUCGUCCGCUCCAAGUUAGUCGGGAGCUAAGGUGAGGCCGAAAGGCGUAGCCGAUGCACAUACGGUAGAAAUUCCGUAACCGUCGAAGUAUUUAAGCAAAGGGACACUUUGGGAAGGUACAAGCCAGGCGUUGGUAGCCCUGGCCGUAAGGGACUGAAAAUUAGUAGGGAAGUGUACUGGAACAGAGGCGAGAAAAGCUUUGUGUAUAUACAAGACGCCCGUACCGCAAACCGACACAGGUAGAUGGGAAGAGAAUUCUAAGGCCAACGGGAGAAGGGUUGUUAAGGAACUCGGCAAGUUGACCCCGUAACUUCGGAAGAAGGGGUGCUCUGGAAACAGAGCCGCAGAGAAUAGGUCCAGGCGACUGUUUAGCAAAAACACAGCUCUAUGCUAAAUCGAAAGAUGAUGUAUAUGGGGUGACACCUGCCCGGUGCUGGAAGGUUAAGAGGAGAUGUCAUCGCAAGAGAAGCAUUGAAUCGAAGCCCCAGUAAACGGCGGCCGUAACUAUAACGGUCCUAAGGUAGCGAAAUUCCUUGUCAGGUAAGUUCUGACCCGCACGAAUGGUGUAACGAUCUGGACACUGUCUCAACAACCCGCCCGGCGAAAUUGUAGUACCGGUGAAGAUGCCGGUUACCCGCGACAAGACGGAAAGACCCCAUGGAGCUUUACUGUAGCUUAAUAUUGGAUUUUGAUAUUUCAUGUACAGAAUAGGUGGGAGACUGAGAAGCAGAGGCGUCAGCUUCUGUGGAGUCGCCUUUGGGAUACCACUCUUGAAGUGUUGAAAUUCUAACCUGCGGCCGUGAAACCGGUCGGGGGACAUUGUUAGGUGGGCAGUUUGACUGGGGCGGUCGCCUCCAAAAAGGUAUCGGAGGCGCUCAAAGGUUCGCUCAGCAUGGACGGAAACCAUGCCCUUGAGUGUAAACGCAUAAGCGAGCCUAACUGCGAGACGGACAGGUCGAGCAGUAACGAAAGUUGGAGUUAGUGAUCCGGCGGUAU